ACGCCGACUCCUUUCACUCAUUUUGCAUCUUUAAUUCACAAAUGACCCCGAUCUGCUCACCUUGUUCCCUUUCAGAGAUAUAAUUCUCACACAACUGGUCCUCUCCUCCUUAAAUCCGCAGAGCAGCAUGUCUCACCAAGCCUCCUUCUGUUUCUCUGUGCUCGUGUGUUUCUGCUCUUUUGACUUAUUUAACCUUCACUGUGUUUUGUAGAGUCCGCAAAGUAACACAACCCUUUCUGAAAAUCACACACUUCCUGUAUUUGAAAGUGUUACUCAGGAUUUUGUUUCCAAAGUGGAUGAUUUGUGGCUACUGUGUAUGAAGUUAAAGUACCAAGAUAGUGUUUGCUACUGGAUGACAGUCAGAGGUAAGACGCUUUGACAUGUUUUCAUAAGUUUAGUCAUGCUGCAGAGGCCCAUAUUUAUUUGGCUUCUACACUCUUUUUUAUUGCAGAUAGCUCAGCUGGUGUGUUUUAACUAUUACAUGACAGAGACAUGAUCAAAAGUAGUUUGUGUUUGAAAGUCUAGGAUUGCCACAGUUUGGUGAAAAACAUCUUGUACCCAGCUCAAACUCCAAGUAUAAUUGUCCUUAUCCUCCCUUCAGCUGGGAUCGCUGCUAAACUCAUGAAAACAUCACUCAUAAACAUGAGUCAGCAUUGUUUUGGGGAGAAAGUCCAAAAUAGGAAAGGCUUUACGCCGUUGUUCUUUGUUUUUGUCAUUUUGGUGUACUUGUUUUCACAUAAACAGCUGCUUGUCUGUCCUUUGAGUGACACAGGUGACCAGAAUAUCUAUAGCGUAUUCAGCGAACAUUUCACGAAUCAUAUUUUAAUUUCACUGGUUUAUCUGCUGUGUUGAUGUGAUGAAACUUUCUUUCUUUCUCCACCUAAAAAGGCUUCGGGUCUGCAGAAAAUCUCUGGCUCUGAAUUCUUGAUGCUGUUUUUGUCUCAUCAGAGGUUUUUGUCGAGUCGUGAUGUGGUAAAAUGUAAAACGUGUUGAUGCCUGAAGCUGUAAGUGGGUCAGAAACUGAAAAGUGCUGAGUCACAGCUUCACACUCAUAGCUCUGACUCUCAUUUCUAACCUCUGUGCGAAAAUCUACUGAGCUUAUGAUGUUAUUACGUGUAAAAACUUUGUAAUGCUGCAUUUCUAGAUUAUCUGCAAACCGCUUAAUAUUCAGGUAUUUCAUAUGCAGGCUGUAUAAACAGGACGACACAUAAGUCUCAGCAAAGCAAUUCAACACUAUAAUCACAUAUUGUAGACACUCUCUGUUAUGAGACAUCAGAUAAAUGUUGCGCAGUAAAAUGUGAAAUAUAUCACCCUGACAUACUGUAUGCUAAACAAGCCUCACAGCAUGGGAAUAGAGGUCAAGUGUCUUUGAAUGAUCGUAUUGAGUGUCUCUCAGAACAAGCAGGUAUUGAAAUUGGUUUUCAUCGACUGUAGCAGAAACUCAUACGAGCUAAGAUUCAUCUGUGAAUGACUUCAGUGAUAUAUGCAUGUGACCCCAUCUUCACAGGAAAUAUUAGACUUUCAGUGUUUCUGCACACACGUCACCAGGUCUUUAAAAGCCACACAUCUCUCAUUGAUGAGUCUCUCUUUUUAAAGCCAUUAUAAAUAAACUUCUUGUUUGUUCAUUCCUUCAAUUCUCCUUCGCAGCAUCAGUAGCUCACAAAGACAAAUUCUGCCAAUAUGUAAACAUUGACAACACGCCUCUAUCCCGUUACGAAAAAAAGUGAAGCCCCCAGCAAAGAGAUAAUGAUACACCAACCUUUAAGGGCAGAUUUAUGCCAUACAGUUCUAGUUACAAACAACACUUAUACACACAUGAUAAUGUAUCAGAUUUUAUAGAGCUUUUUAUCAGAGACUUUCAAAGCGUUUUACAUUGGAUACAUCAUUCGUUUGCUUACACAGUCACAGCCUGGUGCUGGUAAACUACCUUAGUAGUCACAGCUGCCCUGGGGCAGACUGACAGAAACAUGGCCGCCAGUUUGCACUUACAACCUCUCUGACCACCACCACACAACAGUCACAAUCAUACACCAGUGGAAGACACACACUGGGAGUAAGGUGGGAUAAGUGUCUUGCCCAGGGAUACAAAGGCAGACUAGAGAUAGAGGGGAAUUGAACCACCAACCUUUGAAUCAUUGGACAACCGCUCUACCUCCUGAGCUACUGCCACCGGUGUAUAAUCAACACCCAGCAACUAUAGAAUGACCACCAACCUGGAUGUAGUUAUAUUACUCUAUAUGGUGCAUUAGUUUGGUCUCAGGAGUUGUAGGCAAUGUUGCAGUCAGAUCACAAAAAACCUUGAGUUUGAGUUGAGCCUCUACCUGAGUCCACCUCCCACUCAAGCCCGGUUAUAGAUGUUAUUAAUUAUGAGUAUGGGUGUUUUUUUUUGAAUUGGCCUACUGCAUACUCCUGCCAACCUACUCAGACCUACUCGGUAUCUACUGCAUACUCAGUAUGCUGUACAUACUGCAAACUGAGUGCUGUGUUCAAUAGUAGUAUGCAGUAUGACCGCAAGUCAGCCGUUAUUAUGUAGUAUGCUUGGCCCGGUUUAGCUGGUUUCCGGUAUGGAAAAGUACAUCAUACCCUGGUAAAUUGCAACGACACUACAGUGUUGCCCAUUCAUUUAUGCACUGAAAAAAAUCUUUUAUGUUUUAAUUUGAUUGUUUUCAGGAUUUUUUUUAGCCCAAUACCAGUCAUCAAAACGUGUUCUCUCUAUGCAAUGACUCUUGAUUCUCAUCAAGGCACUGUAAAUACAGCAAAGUUAUGUCAGUUAUGUUGUCCUCGUUUUGCUUAAAUGAAAGAAGUUGCAAUCCUAGCUAAACGUGUUAACUGAUGGCGUCUGCGUGGUGUAGUGUUAUUUCCCUUGUCCUGAUAGUUUGACAACUACAAUGAAAACCCUCUCAUACAAACUCCUGUCUCCUGCCAAUUUAUUUCAAAUACCAUAUUGGCUGCUGAUUGAAUCAGACUGCUUUAACGUUUACUCACCUUUCUGCAUUAAAGCUUUAGACCCCCUCCAAUGCCAGCUGCUAGUCCAGCUGUGUGAUGUAAACAUUGGUGAUGGCACACGCUAUGUACGGUAAACAUCACAUGAACCGUACAGUAUCAAGGAUGAGGAGAAGCAGUAAAAAAGGCAGUGGAAAUAGAGGAUAAAAGCUGUACAGUAUGGUAACAAAACAUGACAUUCUUGUCAGUGGUUUGCACAAAUAAUGCUGAAUGAAGGAGGAGAAGACAGGCUGUUAGAAAGAGAAAUCUUUUGGCUGUCCUCUUAGAAAAUGAAUGCGCUGGUGAAAAGUUUUACCGCUCUCUGCUAUUCCGCCGUCUGCCCAGGUGCUUUGCAUUGUGGGUAACAUAAGGCAAAACAGACUGGUUCGAUGCAUACUGUGAAAUGAUCCCAAAUCAGUACGUCAUCCGGGUUUUUUUUUUCUUUUUUGGCAUACUGCAAAUUUUGCAUUUGUUCACCCACUGCAUACUGCAUACUAAAUUUUGGGCAAAUCAGUAUGUACUGCUAGUAUAGUAGGCAAAUUCAAAAAUGGCCUCUGUCUCAGAGUUUGAGUUUGUCUCAGGGCUUGAGUUUUUCUCUGGCCUCUUCCUGGGUUAUCUUUUACAUAUCAGACAUGUUGCUCUUCUCUUGUUUGCAUUCAUUUUAAAAUCUAUGAUGAAAAAAAAUGUGAUGCCUCUUUAGCCAUCCUGGCAGGAACUGAAGGUAAUUAUGAGGCCUGAGCUUUAACCAAAAUGACAAGAGCCUCAUACGAGAAAACCAAACCGAAACCAUAAAACAGUCUUAUCUCCAUGCAAAAAGGUCAGUUCUAAGUCUGACAGCCUAAUUUUGACUAUCUUAGACCUGAUCUCUCCUGCUUCACUCUUAAAAGACUCCUGAUUCUGGAUCUUCACUCAUGACUAAUUUGUGCUGCAGACAAUUUCCUGUAGCCUGUAGAAAUUUGUUUAUCUAGUUGGUUGAGUUUGUUUCUAUUCUGAAGGAAAUUUGUCAUGGCUAUUCAGCUUUUUUUCUAUUGUAGAAAAUAAAAAAAUUCAAUACAUAUAAAAUAAAAAAGAAGUCUUCCGAAUAAAUAAAUUCAAGUUCUUCUUUCCAUUUUUGAAGUCCAGAAGCCCUCAAUGCUUGAGUCAAAGUCCAGUCAUGAGUCAUGGAAAUCAGGGCUCGAGUACUAAAACAGUUGUGGCAAGCUUUUUUGAUUUACUUGUUUCCCCACAUUCAGCUCAAUGUUCAAAUAGUUUUACUUCAUUUUUUCAAGUCAUUUCACAAAUUACUGAAGUUCCUGGCUCAAAACUGUUUAAACUGAAAAAAACAAAAACAACAAAAUAAAAGUUAAUAUAACAGGUGUGAAACUGGCCAAACAGAAUAUUAACACUUUGAUUAUCAGCUAUUAUUCUGGACAUUAUGUUUGAAUUUGGAUUAUCAAUUUGGUUUAGGAAAUUAAAAAACCCACCUUUCCUUUGAGAUCUUGGCAGCUUAAGUUUCGUUCUCGCUUUGACUCAAUUACUAGAAAUCUUGAGUGUGUGUGUGUGUACGUGUGUGGUAUGUGUGUGCACGUGUAUCUGUGUUUAUCUCAGCUCGCAGACGUGACCACACCCUUCAUGUUACAACAACAGCUGCCAUCUUUGGCUGGUGAUGAUGACAUCGCAGCGGCUGCAAGAUGACUUGAACAAGUUUCCUCUCAGUGACCUUUAUUUCCUUAUCUCCUUGUCUCCUCGCUUUGUUCUCGCCUUCCCUACACCCUUAUUUCUUCCUCUUACUACUUUGCCUCCCUUCCACCCUUUCUGUCUUGUCUUCCUGAUUUUUCUGCUGUUUUUAAAAAAUCUGUACUCCUCUUUAAACUAACUCUUUAUUGUCUUAUCACAAAUGCUCAACAGUUUUUUCUGACGAACAAUCUCAGAGUCUCUCUAUAACCCAGAGAAGCUCCAGGUAAGACACCCUCAGGAAGCCGGUGAACCUCUACGGGUCUGACCUGAUGGAGGAGCACCCAGCUGAACAAUUACAGUGCCCACAGACAUCUCUAGAAUCUGUCUAACAAAUCUGUGUCCACUGAAUUGUUGACAAUAGGCCCUUGCUGAUGCUUUUUUAGAGCAGAAAUGCAAAAGAGCCAGUGGCAGUAGAUGCAUCUGCACUGCUGCCAU
rnacentral:lncRNA from 1 species